rnacentral:rRNA from 1 species
AGUGAACGCUGGCGGUAGGCCUAACACAUGCAAGUCGAACGGCAGCACAGUAAGAGCUUGCUCUUACGGGUGGCGAGUGGCGGACGGGUCAGGAAUACAUCGGACUCUACUUUUUCGUGGGGCAUAACGUAGGGAAACUUACGAUCAUACCGCAUACGACCUACGGGUGAAAGCAGUGGAUCUUCGCACCUUGCGCGGUUGAAUGCGCCGAUGUCGGUUUAGCUAGUUGGCGGGGUAAUGGCCCACCCAGGCGACGAUCCGUAGCUGGUCGGUGUGAAUGGUAGGCGACACUGGAACGGGGACGGGGUCCAGAGUCCUACGAGAGGCAGCAGUGGGGAAUAGUGGACAGAGGGCGGAAGCCUGGUCCAGCCAUACCGCGUGUGUGGAGAAGGCGUUCGGGUUGUAAAGCCCGUUUUUUGGGUAAGAAAAGCAGCAGGUUAAGACCACGCUGGUCUGACGGUACCCAAUGAAGAAGCACCGGCUAACUACGUG